GCUGGGCGUGGUGGCGCAUGCCUAUAGUCCCAGCUACUCAGGAGGCUGAGGUAGGAGAAUCGCUUGAACCCGGGAGGUGGAGGUGGAGGUUGCAGUGAGCCGAGAUCGCGCCACUGCACUGCAGCUGGGAGACAGAAUGAGACUCCAUCUCUUUUUUUUUUUUUUUUUUUUUUUUUUGAGAUGGAGUCUCGCUCUGUCUCCCAGGCCGGAGUGCAGUGGCGUGAUCUCGGCUCACUGCAAGCUCCGCCUCCCGGGUUCAUGCCAUUCUCCUGCCUUAG
rnacentral:SRP_RNA from 1 species